rnacentral:rRNA from 1 species
CCUACGGGAGGCUGCAGUGGGGAAUAUUGGAUAAUGGGGGCAACCCUGAUCCAGCCAUGCCGCGUGUGUGAAGAAGGCCCUCGGGUUGUAAAGCACUUUCAGUGAUGUAGAACGCCUGGUGGUUAAUACCCAUCAGGAAAGACAUCACUCACAGAAGAAGCACCGGCUAACUCCGUGCCAGCAGCCGCGGUAAUACGGAGGGUGCGAGCGUUAAUCGGAAUUACUGGGCGUAAAGCGCGCGUAGGUGGCUUGAUAAGCCGGUUGUGAAAGCCCCGGGCUCAACCUGGGAACGGCAUCCGGAACUGUCAAGCUAGAGUGCAGGAGAGGAAGGUAGAAUUCCCGGUGUAGCGGUGAAAUGCGUAGAGAUCGGGAGGAAUACCAGUGGCGAAGGCGGCCUUCUGGACUGACACUGACACUGAGGUGCGAAAGCGUGGGUAGCAAACAGGAUUAGAUACCCUAGUAGUC